UUACGGCCACAUCACGUUGAAACACCGGUUCCAGUACGAUCACCGAAGUUAAGCAACGUCGAGACUGGUCAGUACUUAGGUGGGUGACUGAUUGAGAAUAUCAGGUGCUGCAAG